AUUGAACGCUGGCGGCAUGCCUUACACAUGCAAGUCGAACGGCAGCACGGGAGCUUGCUCCUGGUGGCGAGUGGCGAACGGGUGAGUAAUACAUCGGAACGUACCCAGGAGUGGGGGAUAACGUAGCGAAAGUUACGCUAAUACCGCAUAUUCUGUGAGCAGGAAAGCCGGGGAUCGCAAGACCUCGCGCUCUUGGAGCGGCCGAUGUCGGAUUAGCUAGUUGGUGAGGUAAAAGCUCACCAAGGCGACGAGCCGUAGCAGGUCUGAGAGGAUGAUCUGCCACACUGGGACUGAGACACGGCCCAGAGUCCUACGGGAGGCAGCAGUGGGGAAUUUUGGACAAUGGGGGCAACCCUGAUCCAGCCAUGCCGCGUGAGUGAAGAAGGCCUUCGGGUUGUAAAGCUCUUUCGGCGGGGAAGAAAUGGCAACGGCUAAUAUCCGUUGUUGAUGACGGUACCCGCAUAAGAAGCACCGGCUAACUACGUGCCAGCCGCCGCAGUAAAAC
rnacentral:rRNA from 1 species